rnacentral:rRNA from 1 species
UUAUAUUUUAUUUAUUAAUUAAUUUUUUUUUUAUUAUAAAUUAUUAAAAAUAAUUAUUAAAAGUUUUGUUUGAGUAUUUUAUAAAGAAAAAAUAAAUUUAAUUAUAGUUAAAUAGUAUUGUGAAAGAAAAUUGAAAUAAUUUGAAAAAUUAAUAUUUUAAAAGAAAAUUUAAUUUAUUGUACCUUGUGUAUCAGGGUUUAUCAAAUAAAAAUUAUGUAUUAUAAUUUUCUCGAUUUUAAAAGAGUUAAUAUAUUAUAAAAGUUAAUGUGACAAAAUUAUUUUGUAUAAUAUAUUAGAAAUGAAAUGUUAUUCGUUUUUAAAGGUAUCUAGUUCUUUAAGAAAUAAAUUUAAUUUAGAAAUUUUAUAUUAUUUAGUUAAAUAUAUUAAUUAAAUAAUUAUUUAAUUUUAAUAUUUUGUGGGAUAAGCUAUGAAAUAAAUUAUUAAAAAUUAUUAAAUAAUUUAAUAAAUAUAAGCUUAGAAAUAGCUAUUAUUAAUGAAAUUGUUAUAAUUUAUUUUAUAAUAUGAAUUAUUUAUUAAAUUUUAAUUAUGUAUUAAAGUAUUUAUUUUAAUGAUAAAAAUAAAAAAAUAAUGAUAAAAUUAGUAUAUUAUUUUGUAUAAAUAUAAUUAGUUGAUAAGUUUUUAUAAAGAACUCGGCAAAAAUAAUGUUCGCCUGUUUAACAAAAACAUGUCUUUUUGAAUUUUUUUUAAAGUCUAGCCUGCCCACUGAAUAAUUUAAAUGGCCGCAGUAUACUAACUGUGCAAAGGUAGCAUAAUCAUUAGUCUUUUAAUUGAAGGCUGGUAUGAAUGGUUGGACGAGAUAUUAACUGUUUCAUAAAAAUUUAUAAUAGAAUUUUAUUUUUUAGUCAAAAAGCUAAAAUAAAAUUAAAAGACGAGAAGACCCUAUAAAUCUUUAUAUAUAUAUAUUAUUAGAAUUUUGUAGAUUAUUUUUGUUAUAAUAAUUGAUUAUAUUUUAUUGGGGUGAUAUUAAAAUUUAAUAAACUUUUAAUUUUUAAAAUCAUUAAUUUAUGAAUAAUUGAUCCGUUAAUAGCGAUUAAAAAAAUAAGUUACUUUAGGGAUAACAGCGUAAUUUUUUUGGAGAGUUCAUAUCGAUAAAAAAGAUUGCGACCUCGAUGUUGGAUUAAGAUAUAAUUUUAGGUGUAGCCGCUUAAAUUUUAAGUCUGUUCGACUUUUAAAUUCUUACAUGAUCUGAGUUCAAACCGGCGUAAGCCAGGUUGGUUUCUAUCUUUAAAAAGUUAAAAUAUUUCAGUACGAAAGGACCUAAUAUUUAAUAAAUAAUUAUUUUUAUAUUGAAUAUAAAUAAUUUAU